UAAAUACUCCCUCCGUCCCAAAAUUCUUGUCUUAGAUUUGUCUAGAUACGGAUGUAUCAAGUCACGUUUUAGUAUUAGAUACAUCCGUAUCUAGACAAAUUUGAGACAAGAAUUUUGGGACGGAGGGAGUAAUCA
rfam:Triticum aestivum genome assembly, contig: Triticum_aestivum_CS42_TGACv1_scaffold_501058_6BL